GCUGAAGUAGCACAGUUGGGAGAGUGUUAGACUGAAGAUCUAAAGGUCCUUGGUUUAAUCCCAGGGUUCAGCA